AUGUUCGGGUGGGUUGCCAGGGCCGACGAUCGACGGACGCCGGGGCUGGUCGUGGAGUACCUGCAGAGGAAUGCCGACGUGAAGUCUGUUGCAGAGCUUGAGAGCGAGGGGACGCGCAAGACUGACAAGCUGGUGGCCAAUUUGGCCAGCCAGAUUGAUGUGAAGGCCAAGCAUGCCCAGGAGCUCGAAUCUAAGUACAGUGUGAAGACGACCUCACUUGAGAACGUGAUGGAGGAAAGGGAACUCAUCUUCCAGAGAUACAGCGAUGAAAUCCACAAGAUGCAGCAACUAGCUCGUAGGCACUCGCAGAUGACACUACGGAGAAUCAGAAGGUCCGUUCGGAGCUGGAUUGCAAGAUGCAGGAUCUUGAGCUCAAAUCCAAGAAGCUUGAUGAGCUUGCUGUGCGUAGCGAAUCUGACAGAAGGAAUCUAG
rnacentral:rRNA from 1 species